rnacentral:rRNA from 1 species
GAUGAACGCUGGCGGCGUGCCUAAUACAUGCAAGUCGAGCGAACAGAUGAGGAGCUUGCUCCUCUGACGUUAGCGGCGGACGGGUGAGUAACACGUGGAUAACCUACCUAUAAGACUGGGAUAACUUCGGGAAACCGGAGCUAAUACCGGAUAAUAUAUUGAACCGCAUGGUUCAAUAGUGAAAGACGGUUUUGCUGUCACUUAUAGAUGGAUCCGCGCCGCAUUAGCUAGUUGGUAAGGUAACGGCUUACCAAGGCAACGAUGCGUAGCCGACCUGAGAGGGUGAUAGGCCACACUGGAACUGAGACACGGUCCAGACUCCUACGGGAGGCAGCAGUAGGGAAUCUUCCGCAAUGGGCGAAAGCCUGACGGAGCAACGCCGCGUGAGUGAUGAAGGUCUUCGGAUCGUAAAACUCUGUUAUUAGGGAAGAACAACUGUGUAAGUAACUAUGCACGUCUUGACGGUACCUAAUCAUAAAGCCACGGCUAACUACGUG